rnacentral:rRNA from 1 species
UACGAAGGGGGCUAGCGUUGCUCGGAAUCACUGGGCGUAAAGGGUGCGUAGGCGGGUUCUUAAGUCAGAGGUGAAAUCCUGGAGCUCAACUCCAGAACUGCCUUUGAUACUGAGAGUCUUGAGUUCGGGGAGAGGUGAGUGGAACUGCGAGUGUAGAGGUGAAAUUCGUAGAUAUUCGCAAGAACACCAGUGGCGAAGGCGGCUCACUGGCCCGGUACUGACGCUGAGGUGCGAAAGCGUGGGGAGCAAACAGG